AGAGUUUGAUCCUGGCUCAGAGUGAACGCUGGCGGCGUGCUUAACACAUGCAAGUCGAACGAGAACGGUACUAGCUUGCUAGUAUGUCAGCUAAGUGGCGGACGGGUGAGUAAUAUAUAGUUAAUUUGCCCCUUAGAGAGGGAUAACAGUUAGAAAUGACUGCUAAUACCUCAUACUCCUUCUUUCUUAAUGAGAGUUGGGAAAUGUUUUUUCGCUAAGGGAUGAGACUAUACGGUAUCAGGUAGUUGGUAGGGUAAGAGCCUACCAAGCCUAUGACGCCUAGCUGGUCUGAGAGGAUGAUCAGCCACACUGGAACUGGGACACGGUCCAGACUCCUACGGGAGGCAGCAGUGGGGAAUAUUGCACAAUGGAGGAAACUCUGAUGCAGCAACGCCGCGUGGAGGAUGACGCAUUUCGGUGUGUAAACCCCUUUUAUAUGGGAAGAUAAUGACGG
rnacentral:rRNA from 1 species